GAAAUGAAAUGUGUGCAAUAUAAAUUAACAGUACAGUUAAUUAAAGCCGACCAAUUAAAAAAAAAAAAAACAUUUAAAUAAAUGUACAUGAAAUAAAAAUAAGGCAGAAAUGAGGUAAGGGGAAAUGUGCAAAACUGAGCAGAUUGUAAAAAUGAAAAGAUGAAAUGAAAUGUGUGCAAUAUAAAUUAACAGUACAGUUAAUUAAAGCCGACCAAUUAAAAAAAAAAAAAAAACAUAUUUAAAUAAAUGUACAUGAAAUAAAAAUAAGGCAGAAAUGACUUAAGGGAAAUGUGCAAAACUGAGAAGGUUGUAAAAAAAUUAAAUGAAAUCUGUAAUAUAAAUCAACAGUACAGUACAAGUGAAAUCCUGACAAGCGAGUUAGGUUUUAAAGCAGCCAGAGUAUCCCUGUUUUUUUGUUUUGUUUUUUAGAUCUUUUUUUUUCAGAAUUUUUUUUUCAGGCUAGAUGAAUGAGGUAGGAUGGAGUGGGAGGUGAAGGAAGGUGUUCUUACAGGUGUCUAGUCUCAGGCACGUUGAUGUUGACGUCCUGGAUAGUCUCCUUUUUCUUCUCUUCUCUCUCCUAUGUCUUUGUCUCCUUGUCCUGGAGCUUGUGCCUCAUUUCGUCCAUCUCCGUCUGCCGGUCCUUUUUUUUUUUUUUUUCAGAAUAUUUUUUUCAGGGUAGAUGGAUGAGGUAGGAUGGAGUGGGAGGUGAAGGAAGGUGUUCUUACAGGUGUCUAGUCUCAGGCACGUUGAUGUUGACGUCCUGGAUAGUCUCCUUUUUCUUCUCUUCUCUCUCCUAUGUCUUUGUCUCCUUGUCCUGGAGCUUGUGCCUCAUUUCGUCCAUCUCCGUCUGCCGGUCUUUUUUUUUUUUUUUUCAGAAUUUCUUUUUUUUCAGGGUAGAUGGAUGAGGUAGGAUGGAGUGGGAGGUGAAGGAAGGUGUUCUUACAGGUGUCUAGUCUCAGGCACGUUGAUGUUGACGUCCUGGAUUAUCUCCUUUUUCUUCUCUCUCCUAUUUCUUUGUCUCCUUGUCCUGCAUCUUGCGCCUCAUUUCGUCCAUCUCUGUCUGCCGGUCUUUUUUUUUUUUUUUUUUUAAGUACAGGCAGAUGUUUUCAAGGACUGUUUUGUUGUCCUCUAAUUCUGGGAUCCUGGUGAUACGGAUCUAAUGUUCUUUGGGGAUGGUAUCCUCUGUUUGUUGGAUCUUAGAGAUCAGGCACAAUACAGUGAACCCACUGCUUGUGACCAUCUCUUGGUGGAUAUCCUCUUGGCUCUUUUUCAAAUUCAAAGAUUUUAUUGUCAAAUAUACCCCCCUUGUGUAUUGAAAUUCUUAUGCUUGCCUUUUCUGGACAGCCGACCAAUUUUAAAAUAAAAAAAAUAAAAAUAAAUGAUUUACAUAAAUGUACAUGAAAUAAAAAUGAGGCAAAAAUGAGGUAAGGGGAAAUGUGCAAAACUGAGCAAGUUGUAAAAAAAAAAUGAAAAUGAAAUGAGUGCAAUAUAAAUUAACAGUACAGUUAAUUAAAGCCCCCCAAUAAAAAUAAAAAAAAUAUAUAUAUAUGUUUAAAUAAAUGUACAUGAAAUAAAAAUAAGGCAGAAAAGAGGUAAGUGAAAAUGUGCAAAACUGAGCAGGUUGUAAAAAAAAAUGAAAUGAAAUGGGUGAAAUAUAAAUUAACAGUACAGUUAAUUAAAGCCGACCAAUUAAAAAAAAAAU
ensembl:lncRNA